UAAUUUAACAUUCAUCCAUUUCCUGUUCAGUUUACGGGAAAUCGUUCGAAGCGACGUUCAUCGCUUGUCCCAUAGUUUACGCAGCCUAUCCAGCGUAAGAUGAAGUUCAUGAAUUUGUGGUCGUUGUUGGCAAUGAUUUUCUUACUUUUGGGCUUCGCCAGCGCGGGAACGAUAUCUCCUUUUGAGGAUGGAAAUCGAGAUAAACAGGGACAUAUAAUCGAACUACCGGUUAGAUGCCCUGAUGGAAACUAUAAAAUAGUUAAUGGUCGUUGCAGAGAAAUAGUCUGAAGAAACAGAGAUAUGUUUAAUACGAAUCUAUAAUAUUCCGUGGGACAAUAAAGAACUCGGUGUGUUAUACUACCUUUUACACCGACAUACGCAAAUAUAAGCUUGUGCUAUAUGUCCUGUUAUUAAAAUGCCAAUGCUGUUUCUGCACCUGGUUAAAAUUUACCGGCAAAAAUUAUUCUAUACUUCGCAGUUUUUAAACAUUAUUCCCGAAGAAUUUUCUCGAUUACAAUGCUUUGUUUUUCAUUAUUUUUUUUUUUAAUUUAACACUCGCACACCUCUCGAAGCAUCGACGUUUCGACAUUUUUGUAAGAGAGAACAAUCGACGCCAAAUUGGCUGCGCGCAAAAAGGGCAGGUUCGAUAGAUACGAAACAGCUCGUGUAACUCCGGAUAUAUACAAUAUAAAUAUAAAAUAUAUAUAACACAGAUAAAA